GAUGAACGCUAGCGGGAGGCUUAACACAUGCAAGUCGAGGGGCAGCAUAGGGUAGCAAUACUCUGAUGGCGACCGGCAAACGGGUGAGUAACGCGUAUGCAACCUACCCUGUACAGGGGGAUAACCCGGAGAAAUUCGGACUAAUAUCCCGUAAUAAUAUCCGGAGGCAUCUUUGGAUAUUUAAAGUUCCGACGGUACGGGAUGGGCAUGCGUAACAUUAGCUGGUUGGUAAGGUAACGGCUUACCAAGGCUAUGAUGUUUAGGGGUCCUGAGAGGGUGGUCCCCCACACUGGUACUGAGACACGGACCAGACUCCUACGGGAGGCAGCAGUGAGGAAUAUUGGUCAAUGGGCGCAAGCCUGAACCAGCCAUCCCGCGUGCAGGAAGACGGCCCUAUGGGUUGUAAACUGCUUUUCCAGGGAGAGAAACUUACGCACGUGUUGCGUGACUGACGGUACCCUGGGAAUAAGCAUCGGCUAACUCCGUGCCAGCAGCCGCGGUAAUAUCACGUGUAC
rnacentral:rRNA from 1 species